AUGAAUGCUGGCGGCGUGUCUAAGGCAUGCAAGUCGAAUGUCUGUAGCAAUACAGGCAUGGCAAACGGGAGAGUAACACAUUGGUAAUCUACCCUCUAGACGAGAAUAACCCGCCGAAAGGCGGAGUAAUACUCGAUGGUAUCAAAAGACAUAAGUUUUUUGAUUAAAGCUCCGGCGCUAGAGGAGGAACCUAUGGCCUAUCAGCUAGUUGGUGAGGUAAUGGCUCACCAAGGCAACGACGGGUAUGGGGUGCGAGAGCAUGACCCCACUCACUGGGACUGAGACACUGCCCAGACUCCUACGGGAGGCUGCAGUCAAGAAUCUUCCUCAAUGGGCGAAAGCCUGAAGGAGCGACGCCGCGUGUAUGAUGAAGCCCUUCGGGGUGUAAAAUACUUUUAUCUGGGACGAAACAAUGACGGUACCAGAUGAAUAAGGGGCUGCUAACUUCGU
rnacentral:rRNA from 1 species